AACGGCGGCCGUAACUAUAACGGUCCUAAGGUAGCGAAAUUCCUUGUCAGGUAAGUUCUGACCCGCACGAAAGGCGUAAUGAUUUGGGCACUGUCUCAACAGCCCGCCCGGCGAAAUUGUAGUACUGGUGAAGAUACCAGUUACCCGCAACUAGACGGAAAGACCCCAUGGAGCUUUACUGCAGCUUAAUACUGGAAUUCGGUAACCCAUGUACAGGAUAGGUGGGAGGCUUGGAAGCAGGGGCGUCAGCUCCUGUGGAGCCGCCGGUGGGAUACCACUCUUGGAUUGCUGAAUUUCUAACCUGCGGCCGUGAAUCCGGUCGGGGGACACUGUUAGGCGGGCAGUUUGACUGGGGCGGUCGCCUCCUAAAGAGUAACGGAGGCGCUCAAAGGUUGGCUCAGCACGGACGGAAAUCGUGCAGUGAGUGUAAACGUAGAAGCCAGCCUAACUGCGAGACCGACGGGUCGAGCAGUAACGAAAGUUGGAGUUAGUGAUCCGGUGGUAUGUGAGUGGAAAUGCCAUCGCUCAACGGAUAAAAGCUACCCUGGGGAUAACAGGCUGAUCUCCCCCAAGCGUCCACAGCGACGGGGAGGUUUGGCACCUCGAUGUCGGCUCGUCACAUCCUGGGGCUGAAUUCGGUCCCAAGGGUUCGGCUGUUCGCCGAUUAAAGUGGCACGCGAGCUGGGUUCAGAACGUCGUGAGACAGUUCGGUCCCUAUCUGUUGCGGGCGUAAGAGAUUUGAAGGGAGCUGUCCUUAGUACGAGAGGACCGGGAUGGACGUACCUCUGGUGCACCAGUUGUCCUGCCAAGGGCAUAGCUGGGUAGCUAAGUACGGACGAGAUAAACGCUGAAAGCAUCUAAGCGUGAAACUCCCCCUAAGAUAAGAUCUCUCACCUCGAAAGAGGGUAAGGGCCCAGGAAGACUACCUGGUAGAUAGGCCGGAGGUGGAAGUGCAGUAAUGUAUGGAGCUGACCGGUACUAAUCGCCCGAGGGCUUGACCUA
rnacentral:rRNA from 1 species